rnacentral:rRNA from 1 species
CAGUCGCCGCGGUAAUACAGAGGGUGCGAGCGUUAAUCGGAUUUACUGGGCGUAAAGCGUGCGUAGGCGGCUUCUUAAGUCGGAUGUGAAAUCCCUGAGCUUAACUUAGGAAUUGCAUUCGAUACUGGGAAGCUAGAGUAUGGGAGAGGAUGGUAGAAUUCCAGGUGUAGCGGUGAAAUGCGUAGAGAUCUGGAGGAAUACCGAUGGCGAAGGCAGCCAUCUGGCCUAAUACUGACGCUGAGGUACGAAAGCAUGGGGAGCAAACAGGAUUAGAUACCCCUUAGUCCCUGUCUCUUAUACA